UACGAAGGGGGCUAGCGUUGUUCGGAAUUACUGGGCGUAAAGCGCGCGCAGGUGGUCUUUCAAGUCAGUGGUGAAAGCCCGGAGCUCAACUCCGGAAAUGCCAUUGAAACUGUAAGACUUGAGGAUGAGAGAGGUGAGUGGAAUUCCCAGUGUAGAGGUGAAAUUCGUAGAUAUUGGGAAGAACACCGGUGGCGAAGGCGGCUCACUGGCUCAUAUCUGACGCUCAGGCGCGACAGCGUGGGGAUCAAACAGGAUUAGAUACCCUGGUAGUCCACGCCGUAAACGAUGAAUGCUAGCCGUUGGGCAGCUUGCUGUUCAGUGGCGCAGCUAACGCAUUAAGCAUUCCGCCUGGGGAGUACGGCCGCAAGGUUGAA
rnacentral:rRNA from 1 species